rnacentral:rRNA from 1 species
GACGAACGCUGGCGGCGUGCUUAACACAUGCAAGUCGAACGAAGAGCGAUGGAAGCUUGCUUCUAUCAAUCUUAGUGGCGAACGGGUGAGUAACGCGUAAUCAACCUGCCCUUCAGAGGGGGACAACAGUUGGAAACGACUGCUAAUACCGCAUACGAUCUAAUCUCGGCAUCGAGGAUAGAUGAAAGGUGGCCUCUACAUGUAAGCUAUCACUGAAGGAGGGGAUUGCGUCUGAUUAGCUAGUUGGAGGGGUAACGGCCCACCAAGGCGAUGAUCAGUAGCCGGUCUGAGAGGAUGAACGGCCACAUUGGGACUGAGACACGGCCCAGACUGCUACGGGAGGCAGCAGUGGGGAAUCUUCCGCAAUGGACGAAAGUCUGACGGAGCAACGCCGCGUGAGUGAUGACGGCCUUCGGGUUGUAAAGCUCUGUUAAUCGGGACGAAAGGCCUUCUUGCGAAUAGUGAGAAGGAUUGACGGUACCGGAAGAGAAAGCCACGGCUAACUACGUG